UACGAGGGGGGCAAGCGUUGUUCGGAAUUAUUGGGCGUAAAGGGCGCGUAGGCGGCGCCACAAGUCACUUGUGAAAACUCUGGGCUUAACUCAGAGCCUGCAAGCGAGACUGUGGUGCUGGAGUAUGGGAGAGGUGCGCGGAAUUCCCGGUGUAGCGGUGAAAUGCGUAGAUAUCAGGAGGAACACCUGUGGCGAAGGCGGCGCACUGGACCAUAACUGACACUGAGGCGCGAAAGCUAGGGGAGCAAACAGG
rnacentral:rRNA from 1 species